rnacentral:rRNA from 1 species
AGAGUUUGAUCAUGGCUCAGAUUGAACGCUGGCGGCAGGCUUAACACAUGCAAGUCGAGCGGGGAAAGGUAGCUUGCUACCUAACCUAGCGGCGGACGGGUGAGUAAUGCUUAGGAAUCUGCCUAUUAGUGGGGGACAACAUUCCGAAAGGAAUGCUAAUACCGCAUACGCCCUACGGGGGAAAGCAGGGGAUCUUCGGACCUUGCGCUAAUAGAUGAGCCUAAGUCAGAUUAGCUAGUUGGUGGGGUAAAGGCCUACCAAGGCGACGAUCUGUAGCGGGUCUGAGAGGAUGAUCCGCCACACUGGGACUGAGACACGGCCCAGACUCCUACGGGAGGCAGCAGUGGGGAAUAUUGGACAAUGGGCGAAAGCCUGAUCCAGCCAUGCCGCGUGUGUGAAGAAGGCCUUUUGGUUGUAAAGCACUUUAAGCGAGGAGGAGGCUACUUGGAUUAAUACUCUAGGAUAGUGGACGUUACUCGCAGAAUAAGCACCGGCUAACUCUGUGCCAGCAGCCGCGGUAAUACAGAGGGUGCGAGCGUUAAUCGGAUUUACUGGGCGUAAAGCGUGCGUAGGCGGCUUUUUAAGUCGGAUGUGAAAUCCCUGAGCUUAACUUAGGAAUUGCAUUCGAUACUGGGAAGCUAGAGUAUGGGAGAGGAUGGUAGAAUUCCAGGUGUAGCGGUGAAAUGCGUAGAGAUCUGGAGGAAUACCGAUGGCGAAGGCAGCCAUCUGGCCUAAUACUGACGCUGAGGUACGAAAGCAUGGGGAGCAAACAGGAUUAGAUACCCUGGUAGUCCAUGCCGUAAACGAUGUCUACUAGCCGUUGGGGCCUUUGAGGCUUUAGUGGCGCAGCUAACGCGAUAAGUAGACCGCCUGGGGAGUACGGUCGCAAGACUAAAACUCAAAUGAAUUGACGGGGGCCCGCACAAGCGGUGGAGCAUGUGGUUUAAUUCGAUGCAACGCGAAGAACCUUACCUGGUCUUGACAUAGUAAGAACUUUCCAGAGAUGGAUUGGUGCCUUCGGGAACUUACAUACAGGUGCUGCAUGGCUGUCGUCAGCUCGUGUCGUGAGAUGUUGGGUUAAGUCCCGCAACGAGCGCAACCCUUUUCCUUAUUUGCCAGCGGGUUAAGCCGGGAACUUUAAGGAUACUGCCAGUGACAAACUGGAGGAAGGCGGGGACGACGUCAAGUCAUCAUGGCCCUUACG